rnacentral:rRNA from 1 species
GUCCACGCCCUAAACGAUGUCAACUGGUUGUUGGUGGGGUUAAACCCAUUAGUAACGAAGCUAACGCGUGAAGUUGACCGCCUGGGGAGUACGGCCGCAAGGUUAAAACUCAAAGGAAUUGACGGGGACCCGCACAAGCGGUGGAUGAUGUGGAUUAAUUCGAUGCAACGCGAAGAACCUUACCUACCCUUGACAUGUACGGAAGCCGGAUGAAAGUUCGGUGUGCCCGAAAGGGAGCCGUAACACAGGUGCUGCAUGGCUGUCGU